rnacentral:rRNA from 1 species
CAGUCGCCGCGGGAAUACGGAGGGUGCAAGCGUUAAUCGGAAUUACUGGGCGUAAAGCGUGCGCAGGCGGUUUGUUAAGACAGAUGUGAAAUCCCCGGGCUCAACCUGGGAACUGCAUUUGUGACUGGCAAGCUAGAGUAUGGCAGAGGGGGGUGGAAUUCCGCGUGUAGCAGUGAGAUGCGUAGAUAUGCGGAGGAACACCGAUGGCGAAGGCAGCCCCCUGGGCCAAUACUGACGCUCAUGCACGAAAGCGUGGGGAGCAAACAGGAUUAGAUACCCCCGUAGUCCCUGUCUCUUAUAC